AGUGAACGCUGGCGGUAGGCCUAACACAUGCAAGUCGAACGGCAGCACAGGAGAGCUUGCUCUCUGGGUGGCGAGUGGCGGACGGGUGAGGAAUAUAUCGGAAUCUACUCUGUCGUGGGGGAUAACGUAGGGAAACUUACGCUAAUACCGCAUACGACCUACGGGUGAAAGCAGGGGACCUUCGGGCCUUGCGCGAUUGAAUGAGCCGAUGUCGGAUUAGCUAGCUGGCGGGGUAAAGGCCCACCAAGGCGACGAUCCGUAGCUGGUCGGAGGGGAUGAUCAGCCACACUGGAACUGAGACACGGUCCAGACUCCUACGGGAGGCAGCAGUGGGGAAUAUUGGACAAUGGGCGCAAGCCUGAUCCAGCCAUACCGCGUGGGUGAAGAAGGCCUUCGGGUUGUAAAGCCCUUUUGUUGGGAAAGAAAUCCAGCUGGCUAAUACCCGGUUGGGAUGACGGUACCCAAAGAAUAAGCACCGGCUAACUACGUGCCAGCCGCCGCCGUAA
rnacentral:rRNA from 1 species